rnacentral:rRNA from 1 species
UACGGAGGGUGCAAGCGUUAUCCGGAUUCACUGGGUUUAAAGAGUGCGUAGGCGGUUCGGCAAGUUGGAAGUGAAAUCCCGGGGCUCAACCUCGGAAUUGCUUUCAAAACUGCUGAUCUAGAGUAUGGUAGGGGAUAGUGGAAUUCCUAGUGUAGGAGUGAAAUCCGUAGAUAUUAGGAGGAACACCAGAGGCGAAGGCGACUAUCUGGGCCAUUACUGACGCUAAGGUACGAAAGCGUGGGGAGCAAACAGG